UUUGCAUUGGGUCAGGCACAUGAGUGGGGUCCUCGGAAUGCAUGUGAUCAGCAUCUCCCUCCGGGUCCUCUAACUCGAUCUCUAAACCCUCUGAGUGGGGGACCACGGGGUUGCAGAGCAUCUGGAUCAUCUCUUCAGCAAUAUGUGUAGUGGCAGCCGGCUCCUCAGACUGGCUAGCUGCUGCAUCUGGUGCCUCAUACUCUGCUACCGGUGCCACUGGGCUUUCUCAUCCAUGAGAAAGUCUAGUAGGAUGUCUCCAGCAGAUGUAAACCUCUCUAUAUCCGUCUUCUGCAGCUCCACAAACUCCUUUGAGGCCCAAGUCUUCUUCAUCUUCUUCACUUGCUGGCCUAGAUCCUUGAUAACCUUUCCAUAUGUAUCCAAAGUCUCUAGGAUCUUCUUUUGGUUGUCUUUGAGCUUUUUCUAGUUUUCCAGAAUCUCCUUCAAUGAAUCCUCUACUAAUGGAGAUACCUAAAGUUGUGUUGGGUUGAUUGUGCUGCUAGAGCACUAGAUAAGAUAUACAGCUUUGAUGUAGCAUCCUACGUACAGUUGUUGAUACUGGAUAAUGUCUGAGAAACUUGCAGUGCAGUCUGAGGGUAAGUGGAAGAUGAGUGCACAUAUAAUGACACGGUGAUGGAUGGGCUAGAUGAAGGAUGAGGCAUGGAAGCUGAAGAUUUCACUGAUGUGGAAGGCUCUGAC
rnacentral:lncRNA from 1 species